rnacentral:rRNA from 1 species
AACACGUGGGAAUUUGCCUCGGGGUAUGGAAUAACUCAGGGAAACUUGAGCUAAUACCAUAUAAUGUCUUCGGGACCAAAGAUUUAUCGCCCUGAGAUAAGCCCGCGUAGGAUUAGCUAGUUGGUGGGGUAAAGGCUCACCAAGGCGACGAUCCUUAGCUGGUCUGAGAGGAUGAUCAGCCACACUGGGACUGAGACACGGCCCAGACUCCUACGGGAGGCAGCAGUGGGGGAAUAUUGGACAAUGGGCGAAAGCCUGAUCCAGCAAUGCCGCGUGAGUGAUGAAGGCCUUCGGGUUGUAAAGCUCUUUUACUCGGGACGAUAAUGACGGUACCGAGAGAAUAAGCCCCGGCUAACUCCGUG